rnacentral:rRNA from 2 species
AUUAGAUACCCGUGUAGUCCCAGCUGUAAACGAUGCGCGUUAGGUGUAUCGGUGACCACGAGUCACCGAGGUGCCGAAGGGAAACCGUGAAACGUGCCGCCUGGGAAGUACGGUCGCAAGGCUGAAACUUAAAGGAAUUGGCGGGGGAGCACCACAACAGGUGGAGCCUGCGGUUUAAUCGGACUCAACGCCGGGAAGCUCACCGGAUAAGACAGCUGAAUGAUAGCCGGGUUGAAGACUCUGCUUGACUAGCUGAGAGGAGGUGCAUGGC